UUUAUAGGGUCGUUGAAGAUUACGACGUUGAUAGGCUGCAGAUGUAAAGUCAGAGAUGGCAAAGUCGAGCAGUACUAAUUGCCCGAACACUUCUUUUA
rfam:Bacteroidetes oral taxon 274 str. F0058 genomic scaffold supercont1.2, whole genome shotgun sequence.